rnacentral:rRNA from 1 species
UACAGAGGGUGCAAGCGUUGUUCGGAAUUACUGGGCGUAAAGGGCGUGUAGGCGGUUUAACAAGUCGGAUGUGAAAUCCCGGGGCUUAACUCCGGAAGUGCAUUUGAAACUGUUAGACUAGAGUGAUGUAGAGGUUGGUGGAAUUCCCAGUGUAGAGGUGAAAUUCGUAGAUAUUGGGAGGAACACCGGUGGCGAAGGCGGCCAACUGGGCAUUAACUGACGCUGAGGCGCGAAAGCGUGGGGAGCAAACAGG